rnacentral:rRNA from 1 species
UGGGGAAUUUUCCGCAAUGGGCGAAAGCCUGACGGAGCAACGCCGCGUGAGGGAUGAAGGCCUCUGGGCUGUAUACCUCUUUUCUCAAGGACGAAGAUCUGACGGUACUUGAGGAAUAAGCCACGGCUAAUUCCGUG